UACGUAGGGCGCAAGCGUUAUCCGGAAUUAUUGGGCGUAAAGAGCUCGUAGGCGGUUUGUCGCGUCUGCCGUGAAAGUCCGGGGCUCAACUCCGGAUCUGCGGUGGGUACGGGCAGACUAGAGUGAUGUAGGGGAGACUGGAAUUCCUGGUGUAGCGGUGAAAUGCGCAAAUAUCAGGAGGAACACCGAUGGCGAAGGCGGGUCUCUGGGCAUUAACUGACGCUGAGGAGCGAAAGCAUGGGGAGCGAACAGG
rnacentral:rRNA from 1 species